AGGUGAUUUCACUGUUCACCUAUUUCACACUGACCAACAGAUCUGUAAGGCAUUCAGUAAACAGGAAUAGAAUACUGGAUCAGCUGAGUGAAGUCAUCCCCACAGAGCAGGUAUGUAUUGAUUUCCAUUUUCUUUCUCAUGUAUUGUACUUUCUUUGCUUGCGAUGUGUUUUUUCACUUUAUCUGCUUUACAUUGACUAACUGGGUCUCUGAGUUUGCUAUAUUUCACACAAUUGUGGACAUAUAUUUCAGUUUUUUAAAAUGAUGAAAAGAAGAAGCAAUAUUGUGCGUAAUUCCUUCACAGUCCAUUAAUUUACAGGAGUGGGUUUGAUUCAUUAGCAAUAGCAGCAGAUCUAUAUUACAGUUGUUCAGUCAAGAAUGAUAAUAACAGCAGAAGGCCGGUAGUCUUUGAAGAGGAAGAGGCAAAAGCAGCUGCCAAAGUCUAGCAAAGCAUGCAUUUUUGCUUCCUUUCAUCUAUUUCAAUGUAGUUGGUACCAAUAGCUAAAAUUAAAUUUCAAUUCUAAAUUGUUGCUACAUAGCACUUUGUAAGUGUGAGCCUUGGUGCAACAGUAAGGUUGUUCCAUUGCUCCAUUAUGCCCUGGAGGUUACUAGUUCGAAAUAUGGAAAUAGCUUUUCAG